rnacentral:rRNA from 1 species
UACGUAGGGGGCUAGCGUUGUCCGGAAUCAUUGGGCGUAAAGAGCGUGUAGGCGGCCCGGUAAGUCCGCUGUAAAAGUCAAAGGCUCAACCUUUGAAUGUCAGUGGAUACUGCCGGGCUAGAGUCCGGAAGAGGCGAGUGGAACUCCUGGUGUAGCGGUGGAAUGCGCAGAUAUCAGGAAGAACACCGAUGGCGAAGGCAGCCAUCUGGACCGACACUGACGCUGAGGCGCGAAAGCGUGGGGAGCAAACAGG